rnacentral:rRNA from 1 species
GACGAACGCUGGCGGCAUGCCUUACACAUGCAAGUCGAACGGCAGCAUAGGAGCUUGCUCCUGAUGGCGAGUGGCGAACGGGUGAGUAAUAUAUCGGAACGUGCCCUAGAGUGGGGGAUAACUAGUCGAAAGACUAGCUAAUACCGCAUACGAUCUACGGAUGAAAGUGGGGGAUCGCAAGACCUCAUGCUCCUGGAGCGGCCGAUAUCUGAUUAGCUAGUUGGUGGGGUAAAAGCCUACCAAGGCAACGAUCAGUAGCUGGUCUGAGAGGACGACCAGCCACACUGGGACUGAGACACGGCCCAGACUCCUACGGGAGGCAGCAGUGGGGAAUUUUGGACAAUGGGGGCAACCCUGAUCCAGCAAUGCCGCGUGAGUGAAGAAGGCCUUCGGGUUGUAAAGCUCUUUUGUCAGGGAAGAAACGGUAGUAGCGAAUAACUACUACUAAUGACGGUACCUGAAGAAUAAGCACCGGCUAACUACGUGCCAGCCGCCGCCGUAA